GACCUGCCACCUCCCACUCCUCCCCCCUGUCUCUCUCUUCAGGCUCACCCUACCCACAGAGGCACAGAGUUGUGGAUAGAGGAGCAGGCAAAAGCUCUGUGCCCUGUGUGCUGGGAAACCUUCGCACAUUUUCUAGAUCUACUUUGGCUUUUCUGUUUCUUUUUGGCUGCACUUUUUUUCUCACAGCUGGGAGCACAGGCCCUGGAAACAGGUUGCCUCACCUGCUGUUCCACACCUACUGCCCCUCCUCACACACUCUCUUCCUUAUUGCAAGCACAUAGCGUAUGUGUUUUUGUUGUCAGAUGCUGAGAAGGCUUUGAUCGGGAAAACAAAAUGAGUAUCAAUGGGGGAUCCCACACCCGGAUCAAUACCCUAGGCAGACUAACAAGAUCCGAGUCGGGCCAGGAUAUUAGCGGGAGGUAUGAAAUGAACAACUACCACAAGAUGGUGGGAGGAGGACCAGGAAUACAGACUAUGUACACCACACAGGUCUACAGCAGUGAAACCACUGGAGACAGCUAUGGACAAGGUGGGACCAUGGCAAGGCGCCCUAACACAGUUAAUGAUCUGCUUCAGAACAUAUCUGCAAACCUGGGCCAAGCAGAACUAGUUGUACAGCAUGAAUUGAAAUAUGGAGAUGGAGCUCAGACCAUUCGGAACCGUGAUCUGGAUGAAUGCCUGGGAGUAGCCAAUGAACAGAUUGAAAUAGUUGAAGGCUUGAUUAGAGAAAUGAGAGCUAUGGGUCAGCCGUAUGAACAGUAUAGUAGAAAACUACUUCAGCUUCAGGAUCAAAUGCGUGCCCUCUACAAAGCCAUCCACGGGCCACGAAUGCGUAAAGGAUCCAAAAGUGGAGGAUUUUCUUCCCAGAGUGGAUCAGGAUGGGAUGAGCACACAAAACGCAUUACAUCAGAGACCUUAGGUCAGAUAAGGCAGCAAAGACGCCAACUGGAGAUGGUGGACUGGGGAUUUGAUGCUUCCUCCGUAGAACAACAAAUUACCAACCACAGGAAAUUCCACAAUGCCAUUGCUGACUAUCGAUGGGAUCUUGAUAAAAUAAAAGCUGAUGUGAGAGAAAAGGGUGCGAUUUAUCAAUUGGAAGAGGAAUAUGAUUGCUUAUUGAAAGCUUCAUUUGAGAGAAUGGAUCAACUGCGCCAGCUACAAGCCAUAAUCCAGGCAACAUCCAAAGAGAUCAUGUGGAUUAAUGACCAUGAGGAAGAAGAACUUGUUUUUGACUGGAGUGACCGCAACACAGAUAUCCCAAAGAAGCAAGAAUCUUUCUCUAAACUUAUGAGUGAGCUUGAGGUCAAAGAAAAGGAACUUAACAAGCUUAAGCAGGAAAGUGACCAGCUUAUCCUGAACCAGCACCCUGCAGCAGACAAGAUUGAGGCUUAUAUGGAUACCCUACAGACUCAGUGGAGUUGGAUACUUCAGAUUACCAAAUGCAUCGAUGUCCACCUGAAAGAAAAUGCUGCAUACUUUCAAUUUUUUGAUGAAGCACAGAGCACAGAAAACUACUUGAUGAAUCUGCAGGAGACCAUCCGAAAGAAAUAUAUUUCUGACAAAAGCAUGUCCCUGCAACGUGUUCUAGAUAUGAUUAAAGACCUGGAGAAAGAAAAAGAGAAGAUUAAUGAAUAUAAAAGGCAGGUGCAGAGCCUGGUGAAUAAAUCCAAGAAAAUAGUACAACUCAAGCCACGUAAUCCAGACUACAAAAGAGACAAACCUAUAGUUCUUAAGGCUUUAUGCGAUUACAAGCAAGAUCAGAAAGUUAUACACAAAGGAGAUGAGUGCAUUCUGAAGAACAAUUCCCAACGUAGCAAAUGGAAUGUGACUGGUCCUGGAGGCUUGGACAUGGUGGUGCCUUCAGUCAGUUUGAUUAUUCCUCCCCCAAAUCCAUUAGCAGUGGAUCUGGCUACAAAAAUUGAACAGUUCUAUGAAGCAAUUUUGGUCCUCUGGAAUCAGCUUUACAUCAACAUGAAAGCACUGGUAUCCUGGCACUACUGUAUGAUUGAUAUUGAGAAAAUAAGGGCAAUGACAAUUGCAAAGCUUAAAACUAUGCGUCAAGAAGACUACCAAAAGGUGGUUACAGACUUGGAAAUCCAUUAUCAGGAGUUCCUGAGAAACAGUCAAGGUUCAAACAUGUUUGGAGAUGAAGACAAAAGGAAAAUGCAGUCUCAGUUCUCGGAAGCACAAAAACACUAUCAAACUUUGGUUGUACAGCUCCCAAGUCGAUCAACCACAGUAACUGAAACGAUUAUUCAGCAGAAUGCUGCCCCCAUAACCAAAGAAGUUGUGAAAAGUGUCUCAUCUUCCAUGGUGGAAGUGGACAGCAAGCAGAUGGAUCGUGACAGGGAGAAACAAGAGAAUAUGCUGUUGCUUGAGCUGCAGAGGAUCCGUAAACAGCUGGAAAGCUAUGAGAUAAGGCUGGUGAGAAACAACAUCUAUAAUGUGGACCAAGAAACUGCUAAAGAUUUUCCACGCAGAAUAAGUGAAAUUGAGUCCCUGAAAGGAGAAAGACAAGGAGUAGCUACACAACUCAGUAGGAUUAAAGAGAUGAUACUGAAUCUAAAGGAUUCUGAUAAGUCUUCAUACCUACACUCAGAGCUCAGUUUCCUUUUAAAGAAGAUGGAAAAUAUUAAUGGGUUUUCAGCUGACCAUUUAGAAAGGCUUCAGUCACUGAGGUUGCUGCUCCAGAGUAUCCUACAACUUGAGGAUCUAAUCAAAGUUUAUGAAGUGAGGCUGACUGAGGAGGAAACUAUUUCCCUUGAUCCAGCAAAAGUUGAAGCAUACAGGGGUACUUUGAAAAAAAUGAAGAUGGAGCUGGAACAAAAAAAGGCCAUGCUGAAGAAUCUAGAUACUGAGCUGAAGAGCACCCUGCAAAUAAAUGACCGUGUCAACCAGACAUAUCCGUUUUAUGAUCUGGACAUGUCAAAAUUCUUGAACAAGGGAAACCAACUGAUAGAAAGGUCCCAAAGAAUAGAGAAGGAGAUUGAUGACAGGUUGUGGGAAUUAGAGAAGCAAAGCAAGCAAAUAAAGAAUUACAAAGACCUUUCUCACGUGUUAGGCAAGUGGAUAAGUGAUACAAAGCACAAGCAAGAUUCCCUAGAAUCCAUCAAACUGACAGAUGCGAUCACUGUUUCAAGAUGCAUAAGUGACCAAAAGGCUUUGAAUGCUGAAAUUCACAGCAAAAGAGAUAAAGUUGAAGAAGUUGUAAAAACUGCAGACAUAUGUGCAUCAGGCAUUAAGGAUUAUGAACUCCAGUUAGCAUCCUAUAGCUCUGGUUUGGAAACACUACUCAAUAUCCCCAUCAAAAGGACAAUGGUGCAGUCCCCUUCAGGAGUGAUAACACAAGAGUCUGCUGAGAUUCAAGCACGUUACAUUGAGCUCCUUACCAGGGGAAAUGAUUACUACAGACUUCUGCAUGAACUAUCAAAGAGCUUGGAAGACUUAAAGAUGAAAAAUACUAGAAUUGAACUUCUAGAGGAGGAGUUGCGGCUUGCAAGAGAUGCAAAUUCAGACAAUUCUCAGAAAAAUAAAUAUCUUGAUCAAAAUCUUCAAAAGUAUCAAAUUGAAUGCAAUGAAUAUAAGUCCAGAAUCCUUUUGCUAGAGGAUAUAAAGAGAAAGGCAGAAAUGGAUGGCAGUUCUGCCAAGCAGAAUUUAGAAAAAUACUACAGCCAGAUAACUGAGCUUAAUGACAAGAUAACUCGAUUAACAUAUGAAAUUGAUGAUGAGAAAAGAAGGAGAAAGGCACUGGAAGACAGGUGUGAGAUGCAGAAGAAUGAUUUUGACCAAAUGCAGAAGAAAAAACAAAAUGACCUUGAUGCUAUUAACAGACAAAGGCUGGAGACUGAAAAGAUUUAUAAGGAGAAGGAGUAUGAAAUAGAGAGAUUGAAGAUUCUUCUUCAGGAUGAGGGCCAGAGGAAGCGGGAGUAUGAAAAUGAGCUAUCAAAGGUAAGGAAGCAGUAUAAUGACGAAAUCAGUAGUUUGAGGACCAAGUAUGAAUCAGAAAUAACUAUUACGAAGACAACAAUUCAGCAGAUAUCUGCUCAGAAGGAAGAGGACACAUAUGACCUAAAAUCCCAGCUAGAGAAACUUGCUCGGGAUAACAGAGACCUCACAGCAGAAAUUACAAGAAUGAAUGAUGGUAUGGCUCAAAUAAAUGAGCAUCGUAGGAAAGCAGAAGAAGAGGCCUUCCAGCACAAAGCUUCUGGUUCUGAACUAUCCCAGAGAAAGCAGCAUUUAGAAACUGAGUUACAAAAGUUAAUUACUAUCCACUCAGAAGAUACUGCAAGAUAUAAGAUAUCUCUAGAGGAAGCUGCUAGGACAAUACAGGAGAGAAAUAGCGAGGUUGAAAAAUUGAAGUACCAACUACAAGAGGAGGCUGCACGACAGAGGCAUUAUGAAAAUGAACUUGCUAAGGUAAGAAACAAUUAUGACGAACAGCUUAUAAAUUUAAAAAACAAGUAUGAGACAGAAAUUAACAUCACAAAAACCACAAUACAUGAAAUAACUGUUCAAAAAGAAGAUAAUAUUGGUGAGUUCAGAAGACAAAUGGACAAUUUAGCAAAAGAAAAAAGAGAUUAUCUGGCAGAAGUCGAUAGACUGAAAGCCACUAUAUCACAAAUGACAAAUAAUCUCAGGAAAACAGAAGAUGAUGUCCACCAGCAGAAAUCCUACACAUCUGAGAUAUCUCGGAAAAAGCAACAGCUAGAGAUUGAGCUCCGACAAAUCAAUGAUCUUAAAAAUGAUCUAGAGCAAAAGUCCAAAAAAUCACUAGAGGAUGCUGCCAAAACUAUUCAGGAUCGUAACAAGGAAAUUGAGAGGCUGAAAAAGAUCAUAGAAGUUGAAACGGAGCAAAGAAAAAAAAUGGAAGAUGAAAAUGUCAAAUUGCAGAGAACGCAGUAUGAUCUACAGAAAGUCAACAGCAGUGCCACAGAGACCAUAAACAAACUGAAAAUUCAGGAGCAAGAUUUAAUACGGCUUAAAGCAGAUUAUGAAAAAUUAUCUCUUAAAGAUCAAGACAAACAAAGUGAAAUUUUCAGACUUCAAACCAACUUGAAAGAACUACAAACACAGAAACUCAAACUGGAAGAGGAGAUAAACAGACAAAAGAGAAUUGCAACAGAUGAACAUACAACUAAUAAGAAAUUAGAAGAUGAGCUGGAAAGCUUGCGGAGAACCAGCAGUGAACAACUAAAAAAGAUCACACAUCUAACACAGCAAAUAGAACAAAUUACUGUUGUUAAAAAGCAAACCGAAGAUGAUCUGAGACAGCAGAGGGAAUCUUUAGAUAGUCAACUCAGGGACAAACAGAGAAACAUUGAUGAGCUGAGCAAACUGGUCGCUGAGGUGGAAAGUCUACGUCGGCAGCUACAUGUAGAACAAGAAAAUUUAAGGCAGGCUCAUGGGCGUAAUGAGCAUUUACAAAAGACAGUUGAAGAGCGAAACAAAAGCCUAAAUGAAUGUAAAAUAGAGAUAGAAAGGCUUCAGUCAAUAACAGAAAAUUUGACCAAAGAACACUUAAGGUUAGAAGAAGAGUUGAGAUACCUAAGACUGGAACAUGAUGAGGUGAAGAAAAGCAAAGACGAGGUGGAUGGUGAAAAAAGUGCAACUAUUACAGAAUUAAAGAACCAGCUGCAAACAAGCAACAAACGCUCAUUGGAGCUACAGGGCCUGAUAAAUGAGUUACAGAAAGAGAGACAAAAUUUGAGACAGGAAAUUGAAAAAUUCCAAAAGCAAGCACUAGAGGCAUCCAGUAAGAUACAUGAAUCCAGUAGCAAGUGCUCUGAAAUUAUGCAAGAAAAGGAAAGCCUUCUAAUGAAAAUAAAGCUUUUCGAACAAGAUAAAGUAAGACUGCAGAGACUAGAAGAUGAACUUAACCGAGCCAAGGCAGCAUUAGAUUCUGAAACUAGAUAUAAGCAGCGUCUGGAGGAAGAAAAAAACCAAAUCCGAAAUGAUUUUAACCAAUGGAAAAGUCAGUUUACUCGCAAAGAAGAGGAUGUGAAGCGAAUAGAAACUGAUCUUGAUAGGUGUGAGAGAGAUAAGUUUGGACUUAAAAGUGAAAUUGAGAGGCUACAGGCAGAGAUAAGGUCCAUUGAAGAAGGGUACAGGCGUAAAUUAGAUGAUGUCAACAGGACAAUGAAAGCACAACAACUAGCGCUGGAAAGUGAAUUGGAAAAUCUUAGGAGACGUCCACCUGGAUCAAUUAAGCAAACUCAGACAGAUGAGGACAUGUCAAUUGAUCCCUCUAAAUUUUUAUUUGAUGGGCUACGGAAAAAGGUUACAGCACAUCAGCUGCUUGAGUGUCAAAUAAUAACUAAAGCGACAUAUGAAAAAUUAAUUAAGGGGCAAAAAUCUGUUGAAGAGGUUGCUGCAGAGGUAGAGCCCUUUCUGAAAGGUGCUGGGGCAAUAGCUGGGGUAUCUGUUACACCUAAAGAAAAAUAUUCACUGGUGGAAGCUAAACGUAAAAAACUUACUUCACCAGAGAGCACAGUAAUGCUUCUCCAGGCCCAAGCAGCUACAGGAGGAAUAAUUGAUAUUGAAAGAAAUGAAAAGCUAACAGCAGAUCAUGCCCUGGCUAGAGAUCUUAUAGAAUACUCGGGUAAAGAGGCAAUUUAUACUGCAGAAAAAGCUAUAACUGGCUUUAAAGAUCCAUUCUCAGGAAAAAUUGUUGGCGUUGGGGAAGCCAUUAACAAAAACUUAAUUUCACGGGAUGAUGGCAUCCGACUUCUAGAAGCACAGGUAGCUGCGGGAGGAAUAGUAGAUCCAGUAAUCAGUGUCUACAUACCAGUAGCUAUUGCACUAUCUCGUGGCUUGAUUGAUCAAAAUCUAUACAAAAUCUUAAAUGAUCCCAAUGAUGAUGCUAAGUAUUUUAUUGAUCCUGUCUCUAAGAAAAAUAUCAGUUAUGCUCAGCUUAGAAAAAAAUGCAGAGUUGAACCUCAUACAGGAUUUUUAUUGCUACCUGUAAUGAAGAAAAGCCUUUCAUUCCCGGGUAUUCGACACCCAGUUCCAAUGGAUGAAUUAGUUCAAUCUGGAAUUAUACGACCUGAUACAGUGGAUCAACUAGAAUCUGGUCAGAUAACUGUCGAGGAAGUCAGUGAGCGCAUUAAAGAUUUUCUACAGGGGUCGAGUUGUAUUGCUGGCAUUUACAAUGAAGCUACAAAAGAAAAACUAGGAUUCUAUGAUGCAAUGAAUAAGGGUUUGCUGAGGCCUGGGACAACACUUGAACUUCUAGAAGCCCAAGCAGCAACUGGGUUCAUUGUGGAUCCUGUAAAUAAUUUGAGACUUCCAGUGGAAGAAGCACACAGGAGGGGGCUUGUUGCAAAUGAAUUCAAGGAUAAGUUAUUAUCUGCUGAAAGAGCCGUCACUGGGUACAAAGAUCCAGAAACAGGCAAUAUCAUAUCUUUGUUUCAGGCUAUGAAGAAAGAACUGAUUGAGAAAGGCCAUGGCAUUCGCUUGUUGGAAGCUCAGAUUGCCACUGGUGGAAUUAUUGAUCCCAAAGAAAGCCACCGUUUGCCAGUUGAUGUUGCAUAUAAACGUGGUUAUUUUAACCAAGAGAUGAAUGGGAUUCUUUUAAGUCCUGAUGAUGAUACCAAGGGCUUUUUUGAUCCAAAUACAGAAGAAAAUUUGACAUACCUUCAACUAAAAGAAAGGUGCAUUGUGGAUGAGAAAACAAAUCUUUGUUUGUUGCCUCUGAAAGAGAAGAAGAAGGCAGUUCAAACAUCCCAAAAGAAUACCUUGAGAAAACGCAGAGUUGUGAUAGUAGAUCCAGAUACUAACAGAGAAAUGACCGUGCAAGAAGCUUACAAAAAAGGUCUCAUCGAUUACAAUACCUACAUUGAACUUUCUGGACAGGAGUGUGAAUGGGAGGAAAUAACCAUUACAGGUUCAGAUGGCUCAACAAGAAUUGUCCUUGUUGACCGAAAAUCCGGAAACCAGUAUGAUGUUCAAGAAGCAAUAGAAAUGGGCAUGAUCAACAAAUCUCAACUUGAUCAGUAUCGUGCUGGUUCCAUAAGCCUUACUCAAUUAGCAGAUAUGAUCUGCAAUAUAAAUCUCAGUGAUGAUGUGUUAGUUUCCUCAAGGCAUGAUUCAUCAUCUUCUCCUAGGCUUCGUACCAGUUCAUGGUCAAAAAGUGGCUCAUAUUCAGAUACAUUAGAGGAGACAAGUCCCAUUGCAGCCAUAUUUGAUACAGAAAAUAUUGAAAAAAUCUCUAUAUCAGAGGGUAUUAAUCGUGGAAUUGUUGACACAAUUACUGGCCAGCGCUUACUAGAAGCACAGGCCUGUACAGGGGGAAUUAUUAACCCUGUCACAGGCCAGAGAUUGUCCCUUCAAGAUGCUGCUGCACAAGGUAUAAUAGAUCAUGAUAUGUUGUCAAGAUUAAAACAAGCUCAAAAAGCUUACUUUGGAUUUGAUGGAAUCAGAGGUCAGACAAAAUUGUCUGCAGCAGAAGCAAUGAAGGUAAACUGGCUGCCUUAUGAAGCUGGGCAACGAUUCCUUGAGUUUCAGUACAUAACAGGUGGUCUAGUUGAUCCAGAAACGCAAGGAAGACUGACAACUGAGGAAGCCAUCAGAAAAGGUAUGAUUGAUGGCCGAGCAGCACAGAAACUUCGAGAUGUGAACAACUAUCCUAAAAUUUUGACCUGUCCUAAGACUAAACUAAAAAUAUCUUACAAAGAAGCAGUUGAUAGAUCUAUGGUUGAAGACAAAACAAGCUUGCGGAUGUUGGAAGCAGCUUCAGUUUCUUCUAAAGGGAUUAGCAGCCCAUACAAUAUGUCCUCUGCCCCAGGAUCACGUUCAGGAUCUCGAUCUGGUUCUCGAAGUGGAUCACGUAGGGGGAGCUUUGAUGCUUCUUCUGGCUCAUCGUCCGUACAGUCAUCGUACAGUUUUUCUCAAAAUAUUUUUAGUAGCAGUUCUUCAGGAGGAAUUUAGUGGUUAAUGGGCUUUAAUAGUUUCUUUAUUUGUAUGAUUUGUCUAAAAAAAAGGAAGGGAGAUUGCUUUACUUUUAAUCUUCAACAUUAAAUGUAUGGAUUAUGCUUUCAACAGCACAAUGCUCUUUUUUUUCUAGACCCGUCAAAAUUGAAUUUGUUUAAUAUAUUUUAUUUAGAGGUGUCUAAUUUGUAUUCUGGCAUAAACUUGCUGUAUCUUUUCUAUAUGUUGAUCCAAUGUGGUUUAAAAUACUCCUGUGUGAUCAAUGUAAAAUUUAGAUAUCAGUUUUGUAAUGCAAAUUUAAAUUGCAAAUGUAUUUGGAGUAAUUGCUUCACCUUGUACAAAAACUCCUUAUAAAUAACAGAGAAUAAUGCUCACUGUGCCAGAUGCAAUUCCUGAUGGGGUCCCAUUUUAUCCACCCAUAAACUCCAGCAGCAAGACCGAAGAGGUGCACUUUAGCACACAAAAACUAAACAUAUAAAGGAAAGGCUGUACACAAACUGGUGUACUUGUAUGCUUUUAAAAAACAACUCAAAACUCAUACCACCCUCUCGUGUGCAGCCUCACUGUGUUCUCUCUUUUAUCAUUUAACAAUGCAGUUUGACUACAUGCAACAAAUACUGGCCUUCUUGAUUACAAUGAUUUUGGAGUGCCUUGAAAUGCAUUUAAAACCUUAAACAUAAUAACAGCUCUGACAGAGUAUUAAGACACAGUGCAGUGUUAAAUUCCUGGUACAAAUGCCCCAUUUAGACAGUUAAGCCCCAGAUAUCACUCUACUGAUUAUACGGGCUGCUAGGUAACCUGUUCUCCCAGCCAGUGGUGUCAAAUGCACAUGCACCAGUUACUGACUGCCCUGGGUCAAGAAUUGUCUUUAAUAAUGUCUGUCUUUGCCAUUAUUGCACUAGGGCUUUAUAACUCUUUCUACCAUUUUACUGCAAGGUUAUAUGCUUUCCGUGUGGUGUCCUGGGCAGUUACAUAUAUUUUUGUACUCAGCUUGUUUGUUAUUUGUCAUGCUGGCAAUAAACUUUAUACCAUUUGAGGCA